rnacentral:sRNA from 1 species
UGCCAUAUUCCUUACGUUUUGAGGAAUA